GGGCGGGUGGCGGAAUGGCAGACGCGAUGGACUCAAAAUCCAUUGAUGGCAACAUCAUGAGGGUUCAAGUCCCUCCCCGCCCA
rnacentral:tRNA from 1 species